AGCAGCCGCGGUAAUUCCAGCUCCAAUAGCGUAUAUUAAAGUUGUUGCAGUUAAAAAGCUCGUAGUUGAAUUUCGGGGUCAAUAAGUUGGUCGUGCCAAUGGUAUGCACUGGCUUUAUUGAUUCCUACCUCUUGACGAACUGUGAUGCCAUUAAUUUGGUGUCGCAAGGAAUCAGGACUGUUACCUUGAAAAAUUAGAGUGUUUAAAGCAGGCUUACGCUUGAAUACAUUAGCAUGGAAUAAUGAAAUAGGACGUUUGAACCUAUUUUGUUGGUUUUUAGGAUCGACGUAAUGAUUAAUAGGGAUAGUUGGGGGCAUUAGUGUUCAAUUGUCAGAGGUGAAAUUCUUGGAUUUAUUGAAGACUAACUACUGCGAAAGCAUUUGCCAAGGAUGUUUUCAUUAAUCAAGAACGAAAGUUAGGGAUCGAAGACGAUCAGAUACCAUCGUA
rnacentral:misc_RNA from 1 species